AAGUGAUCGUGUGUGGGGGAGGAGGAGAGUUUAUGCGCGCGCGCGCCUCCUCCUCCCCACGCCAAUCUUGUGUGAACCGUUAUUCUGUGGUGUGUGUAUGCGUUGGUGUGUGAUGUGAUGUGUUUACAGCACUCCCACCAGCAUCACAAACACAAUAAUCUCUCUUUAACCUUUGUCUAACAUGAUGUACCCACAAUUCAAAA
rnacentral:misc_RNA from 1 species